GCCUGGGUGGCUCAGUAGGUUGAGCAUCCGACUUCGGCUCAGGUCAUGAUCUCAUGGUUCGUGGGUUCCAUCCCCACGUCGGGCU
rnacentral:tRNA from 1 species